rnacentral:lncRNA from 1 species
UUAAUGUAAGUAUUUUGUAGGAGAGUGGGGGCUUUAGUCAAAAUAUUCAUUGAAUCGCCCUCAUAGUGAGGCUUAUCAAUUGAAAGCAAUAAUAAUUAAAAUGCAAACGUAAAUAAACAAACAUGUGCAGCAAUGUUGUAAACGACGGUACACGUGUUUUCGUGCAACGUUGCCUAGGUUACAUGCCUGGAGGUGCGCAAUGCACUUUUUUACUUAUUAUUAUUGCCUUAUCGGCUAAGUAGGCGAUGCGCGCGCCUGCGCACGCGACUGUAAACAAACAGCACACGUUGUCGCGGAUCGCGGCUUACCGGGACGGCGCGAUAGCGCAUUGGCCAGAACCGCGUACCGCCCAACGACCGCGACCACCUAAGAUGGCCGACCGCAACACAUAAUCUACGGCGCAAUUAGCAAAGCCAACUGCGCAGUUUCCAAAAAAUUAACCACAAAAUUCGAUUGUUUUAAACUGAUUUAAAAACCGCGUGGCAGUUUUUUAAUAGAGGCAACGAUGCGUCACAUUUUUUUUGUUAACGACAUUAGAUACAAAUUAUUCAAAGGCGCCGCUUUUUGUGUUAACAUUUAGCUCCAAAUUACAACGAAAAACGUGUUUGUAAUCGAAUUGAAGCUAAAACUGUGUCUAUGUUUUCCCAGUAUCGUAGAACGGGAUCUUCCAAAAUAGUUACAGAGUCCCGAAGGGAGAUACUGGAGUAUUACAUAUUUUUAUAAUUUAUUGUUUGUAAGUACUAAGAUAUACAAGGACCAAUUAGCUUACCUUCUUUAUCUUUCUUGUGUAGAGAAUUUAUAAAAAUCUAAACUAUAAGUUGGAAUUGUACAAAGUUUUCAAAACAAUAACCACCGUAAGAUUAGUGCACAAAAAACAACUCGUUGAAAGACAGGAAAAAAUCCAGACUAACAUUUUAUGUUUUUCUUUGUCUAUUUAUAGGUGCAGAGUUUUGGUCUUGGGAAAGGACCAAACAGAGAGCAACGCCCGAAAAAUCAAACACUGUUCAUACGAUAUGCGGACAUCCUGUGCGAAAGGGAAGUGUCACGUCAUCUAUAGAAAUAGAAACAUCUAUAGAGUGUAGAGAAUUAUAUGGAACUUCAUUCCACUAGAGAAAUCAAUGGAAUCAAUUUAAUGUAUGUAAUAAAAGGACGUAUGAAACAGUUUUAUCAAUGUAAUAAUAUGAAUCUAUGAAUUUUAUGCAUCUAUGGAUGCAUCUUCUUCAAUCUUGUCUGCAUCUUGUCCAUCUUGCCAUCUUGUAUUAAAUACGACGCUUCGUCUCCAUUUUAAAAUUUUGCAAUUUUACUUUUCCAUUGACGAUAAAUAAGAGUGGAAGAGUCUUUAAUUUGAUGCUAUUGAAAAAACAGGUUGUCUAUUAACUUUUCAUCUUGGAGGAUCUUAUAGUUAAUUACGGUGAGAAUACAUAAUAUGUAUGUAUAUUACAGCAUUGUUGAUAUUUAAUUUAACGUAAAUAAUAUUGAAUUGGUGUUUUGUUUCUCCAUCUGUGCUCUAUGGUACAGGUUUUCCUUCACAAUUUUUUUGAAUGUCUAUCGUUGAUGUAAUUGUAUGAAUCUAUGAAUUUUAUGCAUCUAUGAUGCAACUUCUCCGGUCUUGCCAAUUGAAUCAAAUUGAAUCUUGUCUUUGCCAUUUUGCAAUAAAUCCGACGCUUCGUCGCCAUUUUGGACCUGAGAAUGGGAAGCAACAUGAUAUUAAUUUGGAAUCUAGAACAAGAAAUUUCUUGACAAUUGUCUGCAUUGGGAUCCCUCCUAGAUUUGGUUUGCUCAUCACACUUGUAGACUUUUGAACGCUAUCGUCUGCAGUUAAU